GCCAGGUGUGGUGGUGCACACCUGUGGUCCCAGCUACUUAGGAGGCUGAGGCGGGAGGAUCGCUUGAGCCUGGGAUGUUGGGGCUGCAGUGAGCCAAGAUCAUGCCACUGCACUCCAGCCUGGGUGACAGAGUAAGACCCUGUUUCCA
rnacentral:SRP_RNA from 1 species